UACGGGGGGGGCAAGCGUUGUUCGGAAUUACUGGGCGUAAAGGGCUCGUAGGCGGCCAACUAAGUCGGAUGUGAAAUCCCCAGGCUUAACCUGGGAACUGCAUCCGAUACUGGAUGGCUUGAAUCCGGGAGAGGGAUGCAGAAUUCCAGGUGUAGCGGUGAAAUGCGUAGAUAUCUGGAGGAACACCGGUGGCGAAGGCGGCAUCCUGGACCGGUAUUGACGCUGAGGUGCGAAAGCGUGGGGAGCAAACAAGGGAUUA
rnacentral:rRNA from 1 species